CUCACCCCCCUCCCCCAAACACCUUCGCGAAUCAAAUGCCCUCAUUCCCUCACCACUCACCAACCCUAGCUUCUUCAAGAAUUCAGAACCCAAACCAAAAACCUAGCCUCUUCAACGGAUUCGACGCCGCUGUUCAUCAUUGUAGGCGCCUCCGCGGCCUCCUCCUCCCCCUGUUCCAAACCAAAUCCCUAGCUCAGCACGUCGUCGUCGCGUCGUCUUCUAGCUUCGCUGUUCGAGGCUUCGAGUUCGAGAUGCUUGCCGUGGUGUCGUCGUCGUCGUCUUGCUCUCAGUUGAAGUUAUUGAUUUGAAGGUUAGGGUGAUUAUUUGUUCUGGAACUGAGUCUGCUAUUUCACUGCCUGAUGGGAAAGUAAGUUCUCCCCAUCCUCCAUUGGAUUCGUCCUGCUUGUCGCCCUCUUGAUGGUCAGUGACUUUGAAUGUCCCCGGAAUUCUUUGCUGAGAACAAGAACAUUGCAGGAUUUGAUAAUGUAGGAGUGGCGUGUCUGAUUUUUAUGUUUCUAUUGAUUUUGUGAUUUGUUUGUAUUUAUAUUAUGUGGAUUUCAUAUCAGCCAGGAAAAUCUCUUUAUACUACUGUUAGAAAGCUCGUGGAGAAUUCGCUUGACUCAGCGGAAUCGAUAUCGGAGCUUCCGGUAGUUGAGAUAACCAUGUGAGUUUGCAUUUGAAAGUACAAUGAACUAGUAAAUGAUUGAUUGUUCCACGCUAACAUGGUUGUUGCAGUGAGGAGAUAAAGAAAAGCAAAUUUAAUUCUAUGAUCGGUCUCAUUGACUGCGGGCGAGUUGUUGUGCAGUUGUACGAUGAUUAUGAGACUGAGAAGGUCCAUGAGGUGUGUUUGAUUACAUUAUUGUUGAGUUAGUUAUGCCAUAAUGUGAAAUACUAGACUAUGUCGAACUGUAAUGUUGUGUGGUAUCAAUUUUUAAUUAUAGCAAUACACUUGAAGCAAGUGGAACGAACUACUAAUUUUUUGUGGCUUUGCUGCGCUGCUGCUGUUUUGUAUUUUUGUUUAAAUCAUUGAAUGGUUAUUUGAUUUCUAGGUUCUGGUUCGACUGUGCUGCUGCUGCUUUGUGUUUUUGUUAAAUUUGUAGAUGAUUAUUUGAUUAUUUAGCUCAGGGUUGUGUGUUUUGUCAAUUUGCCUGACUUUAAUAUUAAUUAAGUGCUUUGUAGCUGUAUUUUCUCUUUAAAAUUUCUUUUCCAAUCUUGUAUUAUAGUGGAAAUUGAGAUGGAUUCUACA